CUGUCGUUUUCCACUUCGUUUUUCUGGUCUGUAAGUUGUAUCUAACACCCAAAAAGUCAUAUGCGUUUCUUCAAUUUUCCAUUACCAGGAAGUCUUACAACAAGGUAGGUUUGAAUGGUAGCUUAGGAAGAUUGUCAGCUGUGUUUGAAGGGAAGUUCAGUUAGAUUCCAUUCAGUCAGCUCUACAUACACCAUAUGAAUAAUAAGAAUGAAUUUGGUAAAACAAAAUCCUGCUCUUCUUUGCAAAAAUGUCCAGUGCCCACAUUGAAAUCCACACCAUCUUUCCCCAACACUCAAUUGACAGUAAAACUAAACAUAAACCUCAAAUUCAAAGGCCUGAAACAUCAGUAGAGUAUGGAACUUGAUCAUCAGACUCCAUUUUUGCCUCUGAUUCUUUCAUAUCAUGUCUCUGUUUCCACUUCUACUGAGGUCUCUCUGCAAACUGUUGGCUGCCUUCAUUCAGAGGCCUACUGCAGCCAUGGCAACUCUGCUCUAUGAGAGCAAUUUGCUGCCCCGGAGUCUUAAUAUGGAGCGUUUUGUUGCACAAGAUCUGCUGGAAGAAGAUAAUUAUUUGUUUCAUUUUGUCAUACGCAUGUUGAGGUGUCUCUGGUAAUGAGCCUGUCUGCAAUGCAAGCUUGUUGGGUACUGCAAUUUUUUAGCAUAAGUGGGCAUUGGGUCCAUGAAAAAAUGGUCUUUUUGGACAUGGAAGGUAAGUUUUUAGCAUAAGUUUGUAUUGGGUCCAUGGAAAACUGGUCUUUUUGGACUUGGACUGCCCACAAAGCAAGCUUGCACAUUGAAUUUUUGCUGAUAACUUUUUGACUGAAUAGUUUUAUGUUCUGGAAGUUGCAUUGAAGUUUUGGAUUAGUAUAUUUGGAGUUCAGAAGAAUGGAUCAAACUAACAUUAUUGUGGGUCUUGAGUUCCUUAGGCUCUGUGAGUGAGUAUACUUGGAGAUUUUUUUGGGUAUACAAAGUGUAUACUUUGUCGUAUUUAACCCAGUUGAAGUGAUUCUGAAGUGAUUUGUAUAAGCUGAGGCCUUGAAUACAGAGUUUUUGGGCGUAUUUUACCUGGAAUCCCAAUUAUAUGAGACCAUGGAUUGUUUACAAUGUAGUGUAUUGAGUACCAGGUUACAUGGUUUUAAGCUUGGUUACUCUUGAAUCUUGUUUGAAUAAUGUAUUGAUUAUGAGCAAAUUUGAUACCUUGAAUCA